rnacentral:rRNA from 1 species
GGUUUCGACUGGGUGUCACCGUCUAACGCGCGCGCGAGUCAGAGGGUGACACCCAGUCGAACCCCCGUGGCGCAAUGAAAGUGAGGGCCGGGGCGCGCGCCGGCUGAGGUGGGAUUCCCGGUCCUGCGGGCCCGGUCGCACCACCGGCCCGUCUCGGCCCGCCCCGUCGGGGAGGUGGAGGUGAGCGCGUGCGAUAGGACCCGAAAGAUGGUGAACUAUGCCUGGGCAGGGCGAAGCCAGAGGGAACCUCUGGUGGAGGUCCGUAGCGACUGACCGUGCACAAUCGGUCGUCCGACCUGGGGAUAGGGGCGGAAGGACUAAUCGAACCAUCAGUAGCUGGUUCCCUCCGAAGGUUCCCUCAGGAUAGCUUGCCGCUCGGAGGUAUCGCAUUUUAUCUGGUAAAGCGAAUGACUAGAGGCUAUGGGCUCGAAACGAUCUCAAACCUAUUCCCAAACUUUAAAACGGGAAAGAAGGCCCGGCUCGCUUGGCUUGGAGCGGCGGCCUUGGAAUGCGAGCCGCCUAGUUGGUCACUUUUGGUAAGCAGAACUUGGGGCUCUGCGGGAUGAACCGAACGCCGGGUUAAGGCGCCCGAUGCCGACGCUCAUCAGACCCCAGAAAAGGUGUUGGUUGAUAUAGACAGCGGAGACGGUGGCCAUGGAAUGGAAUCGCUAAGGAGUGUGUAACAACUCACCUGCCGAAUCAACUAGCCCUGAAAAUGGAUGGCGCUGGAGCUUCGGGCCCUUGCCCGGCCGAGGCCGGCCACGGGAGCCUCGAGGGCUACGCCGCGACGGCAGGAGGCCCGCCGCGGUGAGCACGGAAGCCUAGGGCGCGGGCCGGGUGGAGCCGCCGCGGGUGCAGAUCUUGGUGGUAGUAGCAAAUUUUAACGAGAACUUUGAAGGCCGAAGUGGAGAAGGGUUCCAUGUGAACGCAGUUGAACAUGGGUCAGUCGGUCCUAAGAGAUGGGCGACCGCAGGGGCGAUGCCCUCCGCCGCCCCCGGCCGAUCGAAGGGGAGUCGGGUUCAGAUCCCCGAAUCCGGAGUGGCGGAGACGGGCGGCGCGGGGCGUCCAGUGCGGGCGCCGCGAGGCGUCCAGUGCGGCAACGCAACCGAACCCGGAGAAGGUGGCGGGAGACCCUGGGAGNNNNNNNGGGAGGUAAGGGAAGUCCGCCCAAUCAGAUCCGAAGUUACGGGAUAAGGAUUGGCUCCAAGGGCUGGGUCGGUCGGGCUGGGGAGCGAAGCGUGGCUGGGCUCGAGCCGCGGCUGGGGGAGCAGUCGCUCCGUCGCCCUCCCUCCUCCGCCGCCGGAAGCGUGGCGCGCGGCCCGUCUUGCGGGCGGCUCUCGUUGGGGGUGGCUUCGCGGCCGCCUCGGGCGGGGGUUCGCUUUUGCGGGGCGGUGUCCGUCGCCGCGCCCAAGGCGGGCCGGCAAGGGGGGUCGGGGUACGGCGGCGGCGGCGGUGACUCUGGACGCGUGCCGGGGCCUUCUCGCGGAUCUCCUCAGCUCGGUGGCUCGUCGGGCGCCCUCCCUGGUUCGCCCCGGGGGGGGUGUCCUCCGGCGGGUCGCCUCGGCCGGCGCCUCGCAGCUGGCUUAGAAACUGGUGCGGACCAGGGGGAUCCGAUGUUUAAUUAAAACAAAGCAUCGCGAAGGCCCGCGGCGGGUGUUGACGCGAUGUGAUUUCUGCCCAGUGCUCUGAAUGUCCAAAGUGAAGAAAUUCAAUGAAGCGGGGUAAACGGCGGGAGUAACUAAGACUCUCUUAAGGUAGGCAAAUGCCUCGCGUCAUCUAAUUAGUGCGACGCAGAAAGGGUGAACGAGAUUUCCCACUGUCCCUACUACCUCUAGCGAAACCCCACAGCCAAAGGAACGGGCUUGGCAGAAUCAGCGGGGAAAGAAGACCGUUUUGAGCUUGACACUCUAGUCUGGCACUGUGAAAAGAGACAUGGAGAGGAGUAGAAUAAGUGGGAGGUCUCGGCCGCCGGUGAAAUACCACUACUCUUAUCGUUUUUUCACUUAACCGGGUGGGGCGGGGAGGGACCCCGAGCGGGCUCUCGUUUCUGGCGUCAAGCGCCCGGCUCCGUCCGGUCGCGACCCCGCUCCGGGGACAGUGGCAGGUGGGGAUUUGACUGGGGCGGUACACCUGUCCAAACGGUAACGCAGGUGUCCUAAGGCGAGCUCAGGGAGGACAGAAACCUCCCGUGGAGCAGAAGGGAAAAGCUCGCUUGAUAUUUUGAUUUUCAGUAUGAAUACAGUCCGUGAAUGCGGGGCUUACGAUCUUUUGACUUUUUGGGUGUUUUAAGCAGGAGGUGUCAGAAAAGUUACCACAGGGAUAACUGGGGCUUGUGGCGGCCAAGUGUUCAUAAAGACGUCGCUCUUUUGAUCCUUCGAUGUCGGCUCCUCCUAUCAUUGUGAAGCAGAAUUUCCUAUCAUUGUGAAGCAGAAUUCCCCCAAGCGUUGAUAGCGACGUCG